rnacentral:rRNA from 1 species
CCUACGGGUGGCUGCAGUGGGGAAUAUUGGACAAUGGGGGCAACCCUGAUCCAGCCAUGCCGCGUGUGUGAAGAAGGCCCUCGGGUUGUAAAGCACUUUCAGUGAGGAAGAACGCCUGGUGGUUAAUACCCAUCAGGAAAGACAUCACUCACAGAAGAAGCACCGGCUAACUCCGUGCCAGCAGCCGCGGUAAUACGGAGGGUGCGAGCGUUAAUCGGAAUUACUGGGCGUAAAGCGCGCGUAGGUGGCUUGAUAAGCCGGUUGUGAAAGCCCCAGGCUCAACCUGGGAACGGCAUCCGGAACUGUCAAGCUAGAGUGCAGGAGAGGAAGGUAGAAUUCCCGGUGUAGCGGUGAAAUGCGUAGAGAUCGGGAGGAAUACCAGUGGCGAAGGCGGCCUUCUGGACUGACACUGACACUGAGGUGCGAAAGCGUGGGUAGCAAACAGGAUUAGAUACCCCUGUAGUC